CCUUCGAUAGCUCAGUUGGUAGAGCGCGGGACUGUAAUUGGUAGACCUGCUUCAUCCUGAGGCCGCCUGUUCGAUCCAGGCUCGAAGGA